rnacentral:lncRNA from 1 species
GAUAGGUGAGGUGAGAAUAAGUUGUAUUACAAAUUUGUUGGGAGAGAAUUUCAAUUCAACUUCUUCACCAGCGGGAAAAAUCGUGAGUAUAACCUCAUGCUUGGAAAUUUUAUUCUCAACUAAAUGGAUCGUACUUGAUAUCCACUUUCUGGUUUAACAAAUGUUUUGGGUCAAUUAGACUCUUGACCAUUCAAUUUGGUAAGCCAUUGGCCCAAAACCAAAAGGACCUCAAUGGUCACUAUAUUAAAACACAAUCGACUUCACCUUCUUUCCCAAUGUUUUAAUCACACCCAUAUACAGGAAGCCUAUAAGCAAAGUGAUCCCUAUUAUUUUUUUUAUAAAAAUAGGUGUGAAGCCAAAAAUAAUCACAAGGCGACACGUAGAUCUUUGGAUAAAAAAGGACAAGAAUACCUUUGAUGCAUAUUGACAUUCCUACGCGCGAGUAGCAGACAAUCAUCUUUCAACCAAGUCAAAAGUGCCCAAAAUAGGUAACAAUUUAAAGCCUAUUUCAUCAAAUCCUUUCUAUAAGGUUAUUCCCAAAACCUAAUUUAUUUAAUAUGUUUUAUAUUCCAUUAUUUAGCUAAUCAAUAAACUAAAUAAUAUAUUCCUUUCAAAUUUCCUAAAAAUUGACUAAUUAAGGGAUUAAUUACCUAAUCAAUCCCUUAAUUAUCAAAUUGAAACACCCAUUCAAAUCUAAAAGUCACUAGAGGGCCGGCUAUCCCCAUUUCAAAACCUAAUCCAUCACUUUUUUUCUACCUUUUUCACCAUUUCUUCCUUUUUAUUAGCCAAUAAAUUCCAUAACCACCAAAACAUUUCCUUUUAUGUUUAAUUAGCCAAUUAAUUGCCUAAUUAAACCAAAACAAAACCUAAAAACCCUACUAAGUGGCCGGCCACAUUCAUCUCUAAAGUGAACCAACCUAGCCCUAUAAAUAGGCUCCUAUUUUCACCAAAUAUUCAUUCCAACACUUUGGCAAAAAUCCCAAAAUUCUCUAAAC